UACGUAGGGCGCAAACGUUGUUCGGAUUUACUGGGUGUAAAGGGUGCGCAGGCGGAACUGUGCGUCGGGGGUUAAAGACUUAGGCUCAACCUGAGGAAUGCCCUCGAUACGGCAGAUCUUGAGUGCGAGAGAGGAGAGUGGAACUCCUGGUGUAGCGGUGAAAUGCGUAGAUAUCAGGAGGAACUCCAGUGGCGAAGGCGGCUAUCUGGGUCGCAUCUGACGCUCAGGCACGAAAGCGUGGGGAGCAAACAGG
rnacentral:rRNA from 1 species